rnacentral:rRNA from 1 species
GAACGCUGGCGGCGUGCCUAAUACAUGCAAGUCGAGCGAGCGGAACUAACAGAUUUACUUCGGUAAUGACGUUAGGAAAGCGAGCGGCGGAUGGGUGAGUAACACGUGGGGAACCUGCCCCAUAGUCUGGGAUACCACUUGGAAACAGGUGCUAAUACCGGAUAAGAAAGCAGAUCGCAUGAUCAGCUUUUAAAAGGCGGCGUAAGCUGUCGCUAUGGGAUGGCCCCGCGGUGCAUUAGCUAGUUGGUAAGGUAAAGGCUUACCAAGGCGAUGAUGCAUAGCCGAGUUGAGAGACUGAUCGGCCACAUUGGGACUGAGACACGGCCCAAACUCCUACGGGAGGCAGCAGUAGGGAAUCUUCCACAAUGGACGCAAGUCUGAUGGAGCAACGCCGCGUGAGUGAAGAAGGUUUUCGGAUCGUAAAGCUCUGUUGUUGGUGAAGAAGGAUAGAGGUAGUAACUGGCCUUUAUUUGACGGUAAUCAACCAGAAAGUCACGGCUAACUACGUGCCAGCAGCCGCGGUAAUACGUAGGUGGCAAGCGUUGUCCGGAUUUAUUGGGCGUAAAGCGAGCGCAGGCGGAAGAAUAAGUCUGAUGUGAAAGCCCUCGGCUUAACCGAGGAACUGCAUCGGAAACUGUUUUUCUUGAGUGCAGAAGAGGAGAGUGGAACUCCAUGUGUAGCGGUGGAAUGCGUAGAUAUAUGGAAGAACACCAGUGGCGAAGGCGGCUCUCUGGUCUGCAACUGACGCUGAGGCUCGAAAGCAUGGGUAGCGAACAGGAUUAGAUACCCUGGUAGUCCAUGCCGUAAACGAUGAGUGCUAAGUGUUGGGAGGUUUCCGCCUCUCAGUGCUGCAGCUAACGCAUUAAGCACUCCGCCUGGGGAGUACGACCGCAAGGUUGAAACUCAAAGGAAUUGACGGGGGCCCGCACAAGCGGUGGAGCAUGUGGUUUAAUUCGAAGCAACGCGAAGAACCUUACCAGGUCUUGACAUCUAGUGUCAUUUGUAGAGAUACAAAGUUCCCUUCGGGGACGCUAAGACAGGUGGUGCAUGGCUGUCGUCAGCUCGUGUCGUGAGAUGUUGGGUUAAGUCCCGCAACGAGCGCAACCCUUGUUAUUAGUUGCCAGCAUUAAGUUGGGCACUCUAAUGAGACUGCCGGUGACAAACCGGAGGAAGGUGGGGAUGACGUCAAGUCAUCAUGCCCCUUAUGACCUGGGCUACACACGUGCUACAAUGGGCAGUACAACGAGAAGCGAGCCUGCGAAGGCAAGCGAAUCUCUGAAAGCUGUUCUCAGUUCGGACUGCAGUCUGCAACUCGACUGCACGAAGCUGGAAUCGCUAGUAAUCGCGGAUCAGCACGCCGCGGUGAAUACGUUCCCGGGCCUUGUACACACCGCCCGUCACACCAUGGGAGUCUGCAAUGCCCAAAGCCGGUGGCCUAACCUUCGGGAAGGAGCCGUCUAAGGCAGGGC